CGAUCCCAUCCCGAACUCGGCCGUGAAACCAGACUGCGCCGAUGGUACUUCAGCUUAAGCUGCGGAAGAGUAGGUCGUCGCCAGGC
rnacentral:rRNA from 1 species